rnacentral:lncRNA from 1 species
GUGCUUUUGUUACCUGUUAGCCUGGCAGACUUUGAUUCUGAGUUAUGUAUUGAAAUCUAGAGGCAAAUAAUAUUUUGUGGUCAGAGAAAAACUAUUUACUUUGAGAUCCCAUGUAAUAAUUAUUCUUACAUAAUUAUUAGUAUUUAUAAUGAUCUAUAUUUUGAUCAAAUUUUAAGAGCUUAAAUAAAAUCUCAUUUCCCCUAAAUAUUUUUUAUCACCCCCUCAGUAUUCCCAGAUCACAUUUUUGCAUUUCUUUCCAUGUUCAAGAGAACUGGUAUUUAAAGUAUCUCUCAGUUAAAAAUAAGUGACAAGAAGGUUUAUGUUUUUAAGCCUCUAUAUAAUGGAAAGAUUUUACAGACAAUGAAGAUAAACACUAGAUUAAAAGCAUUUUUUUAUGGUAAAAUAAUGAUAAAAUAAUUUUGUAGACCCAGUAUCAUGACAGAAGGUGACAUGAAUACGUUGACAAAAAAAAUGUUGAAACGCCUCUUUUAAAAUAUUCUUCUUUGUAAAAUGUAUCUAUUAAGUGGUAUUUCUAUAAUUGUUAUAGAAAUUGAGACACAUCUUUACGAGAAUUUUUUUUUUUUUUUUUUUUUAGGAAGAUUAUCCCUGAGCUAACUGCUGCUGCCAAUCCUCCUCUUUUUGCCAAGGAAGACUGGCCCUGAGCUAACAUCCGUGCCCAUCUUACUCUACUUUCUAUGUGGGAUGCCUACCACAGCAUGGCUUGCCAAGUGGUGCCAUGUCUGCACCCCAGAUCUGAACUGGUGAACCCUGGGCCACUGAAGCGGAACAUGCACACUUGACCGCUGCGUCACCGGGCCUGCCCCAAGAAUCUUUUGUUAUUGUCACUCAUAUCGUAUGAAAAAUGUCCUUGGCCUCUGCACCCCUGUGGAAUCCAGUUCAUCUCCAAUCCGUCAGAAAGCAUCAGAGGUGGUUUUGAUUCCUUAUGUCCUGAGCCUGUGCACAAAAUGUGUGAGUGAUAAAUGCAAUGGUCAAAACGAUUUCACUAAAGGGAAGACAGGAGAUCGUGCAGAGGGUCAUACAUUGGAUGUGCAACAGUGGAUCAUGAGGCCAAGGUGCUUGGGUAAUACCUUGUGUGAAGGAAAAUGAGAUCCCGAGUGAAGUCUACAAUGUCAUUGACUCUGAAGAAGGACUCAGAGACCCAUUGGUGUUUAAUGACCCUUACUGGCCUAUGCAAUGGGAACUGCACCUCAUCCUUGGCACAACUACCCUUCACCUGUGAUCUGGCUCGCUGCUGCUCUCCAGUGGUCUGUGCUGUUUCUCACACAAAUGAUCAUGGAUUAGGUUGUUCUGAGGUAUGAAUUCUAGCAGUAGGCUCAUAUUACACUUGCAGCAUGACGUCCCACCUUGUGAUCUGACACUGAGCAUGAAGCCAUUGUAGUUCAGUGAGGAUUUUAGUUUGUCUCCAACUGUGCACACACUCAAAAUUAAGGGCAACAAAUGCUUUAUAUCCCUCCAAGUUGUCCUUUGUUCUCCCUGGAAUCAGUGGAAAUCAAUGAACAACCCACCUAAUGAAUAUUUACUGAGCGCCAAGUUUCUUCCAGGCCUGUACUAGGUAUUUUUCAUGGGUUGUUUUGAAAUGAUUAUAUUAUUCCUUUUAAGUUUGGAUUAUUCUUUUAAGGGCUCAGGUUGGUUGGCUGUUUGAGCAGUUUUCAUCAACUGGAGUUGUGCAUUUGGGUAUUGGCAGACAGC